UGUUCAGUUGUGAUUUGCAAAAUAGACUCGUUCGAAUUUUAUGAAUUCGCAAAUUUGAAUUAGAAUAAAACAAAUAUUAACAGAAGGAACCUUACAAAAAAGCCGAUUUGCAUUAUGUUGAAAAGCUCAUCAAAAAUGCAACAAACUAAAUGCAAAUCUUGCAUUAGAACUGUUUGGAGAUUCAGCCGGACUACGGUCAACAGUUGAAUAAUACGAGCCGAAGAGAUGGGAUGAAGCUAGAGACGUAUAAGAGAAGACGAGAGGAUCUUGUGAAUUCAGUAGUUAGAAGGUGAACAAGAGGAGAUACUCCUUGGUUAGAACUUGAUUCCCAGUACUGCAUAAUAACUAUUAUAGUAACCAUGAUGCAGAAGAAGGAGAAUAACGUCAAACAACUGAACAGGUGAGAGCAGAAAAAAGUGAAAGAAACAAAAUCGAACCUCAAUAGAUGUUAGAUGGAAAGAUAGUAAGAUCAGUAGAUAUACGAAACAUUGGUAGAAAAAAAAAGAAAAAUGCAAGAAUAGUGGUUUUGUAGAUUCAGACUUGAAUUUCUUCAGAGACU